rnacentral:rRNA from 1 species
CCUACGGGAGACUGCAGUGGGGAAUAUUGGGCAAUGGAGGCAACUCUGACCCAGCAACGCCGCGUGAAUGAUGAAGGUCUUCGGAUUGUAAAGUUCUGUGAUGGGGGAUGAACACAAUGACGGUACCCCAAUAGCAAGCUACGGCUAACUACGUGCCAGCAGCCGCGGUAAUACGUAGGUGGCAAGCGUUAUCCGGAAUGACUGGGCGUAAGGGGUGCGUAGGUGGUUUAGUAAGUUGGCGGUGUAAUUCCGGGGCUCAACCUCGGCGCUACCGCCAAAACUAUUAGACUAGAGUGCAGGAGGGGUAAGAGGAAUGCCUAGUGUAGCGGUGGAAUGCGUAGAUAUUAGGAGGAACAUCAGGGGCGAAGGCGACUUACUGGACUGUAACUGACACUGAGGCACGAAAGCGUGGGGAGCAAACAGGAUUAGAUACCCUUGUAGUC